UACGGGGGGAGCAAGCGUUGUUCGGAUUUACUGGGCGUAAAGGGCGCGUAGGCGGCGCAACAAGUCACUUGUGAAAUCUCCGGGCUUAACCCGGAGCGGUCAAGUGAUACUGUCGUGCUAGAGUGCGGAAGGGGCUACUGGAAUUCUCGGUGUAGCGGUGAAAUGCGUAGAUAUCAAGAGGAACACCUGGCGGCGAAGGCGGGUUGCUGGGCCGACACGUGACGCUGAGGCGCGAAAGCCCAGGGGAGCGAACGGG
rnacentral:rRNA from 1 species